rnacentral:rRNA from 1 species
CCAUGGCGCCGCGGGAAUUCGAUUAAAGUCGGAUUAAUGCCUUAUGAAGUGAGAAGAAGACAUCUGAUUUUCACUAAAGCUGAGGCGGUAUAGGAUGGGGAUGCGUCCGAUUAGGUAGACGGCGGGGUAACGGCCCACCGUGCCGACGAUCGGUAGGGGUUCUGAGAGGAAGGUCCCCCACACUGGAACUGAGACACGGUCCAGACUCCUACGGGAGGCAGCAGUGAGGAAUAUUGGUCAAUGGGCGAUAGCCUGAACCAGCCAAGUAGCGUGAGGGAAGACGGCCCUAUGGGUUGUAAACCUCUUUAGUCCGGGAAUAAAGUGGGCGACGUGUCGCCUAUUGCAUGUACCGGAAGAAUAAGGACCGGCUAAUUCCGUGCCAGCAGCCGCGGUAAUACGGAAGGUCCGGGCGUUAUCCGGAUUUAUUGGGUUUAAAGGGAGCGCAGGCGGUCUGAUAAGCGGGCAGUGAAAGACGGUGGCUCAACCAUCGAGGUGCUGUCCGAACUGUCGGACUUGAGUACGUGCGAGGCAGGCGGAAUUCGUGGUGUAGCGGUGAAAUGCUUAGAUAUCACGAAGAACCCCGAUUGCGAAGGCAGCUUGCCAGUGCGCCACUGACGCUAAAGCUCGAAAGUGCGGGUAUCGAACAGGAUUAGAUACCCUGGUAGUCCGCACGGUAAACGAUGGAUGCUCGCUGUUCGUUGCGUUUAUAGUGAUGAGCGGCCAAGCGAAAGCGUUAAGCAUCCCACCUGGGGAGUACGCCGGCAACGGUGAAACUCAAAGGAAUUGACGGGGGCCCGCACAAGCG